rnacentral:rRNA from 1 species
UACGGAGGGUGCGAGCGUUGUCCGGAAUCACUGGGCGUAAAGGGCGCGUAGGCGGCCUGAUAAGUAGGGGGUGAAAUCCUGCGGCUUAACCGCAGGGCUGCCUUCUAAACUGUCAGGCUGGAGCACAGUAGAGGCAGGUGGAAUUCCCGGUGUAGCGGUGGAAUGCGUAGAGAUCCGGAGGAACACCGACGGCGAAGGCAGCGCCCUGGCCGCCAUCUGACGCUCAGGCACGAAAGCUGGGGGAGCGAACAGG